CUGCAUGUGUGUGUGAGUGGUGAUGCAUGGGUACAUGUGUGCAGGAGCAGAGAGGAGGAGGGCUGCAUGUGUGUGUCUGUGGUGAUGCAUGGGUACAUGUGUGCAGGAGCAGAGAGGAGGAGGGCUGCAUGUGUGUGUCUGUGUGGUGAUGCAUGGGUACAUGUGUGCAGGACAGAGAGGAGGAGGGCUGCAUGUGUGUGUGAGUGGUGAUGCAUGGGUACAUGUGUGCAGGACAGAGAGGAGGAGGG
rnacentral:lncRNA from 1 species